GCCCAACAUUGCGGGUUGCCAACCGGAACCUAUGCUGUGAAGAUGAAGUAGAUUCAGGCAGGAGCUAUACUCCAGAACACAGUGGAAUCUCUCAGCAAGACCUGGUGUGCUCAGGAUUCCAGCUUAGCUUAUGAGAGAGCUUUUCUGGCAGUGUCAGUGAAACUUCUUGAGUAUAUGGCUCACAUUGCUCCUGAAGUAGUGGGACAGGUGGCUAUCCCCAUGACGGGUAUGAUCAAUGGGAACCAAGCCAUCCGGGAGUUCAUCCAGGGCGAGGGAGGUUGGGAAAAUCUGGAGAGCUGAAGAGGUGGAGCUAUUCACAAGACUGAACACUUCCUUGUUGACUGAUUGGGUGAUUGAUUCCUGGGAAUUCAAACAAACAAAUAAAAAAAAACUUUUUUCAUUUUA
rnacentral:sRNA from 1 species